GAAAAAAAAAUAAGAAAAAAAAAAAAAAAAAAAGGGCAGAAGAGAAUGAACCUGAGUGAGUAUGAGCCCUCAAGUGUCUUUAGAGAUUAUUUUUUGGUCACAAAGAAAAUGUUUCAUGUUUUCUGUCUCACAGUGCU
rnacentral:ribozyme from 1 species